AAUGCAGAAGAGAGGGAGCGUGUAACUGCAAGUGGGGGUGAAGUAGGAAGGCUAAAUGUUUUUGGGGGCAAUGAGGUUGGUCCCUUGCGCUGCUGGCCAGGUGGAUUAUGUCUUUCUAGGUCAAUUGGAGAUACAGAUGUUGGAGAGUUUAUUGUUCCAAUACCACAUGUCAAGCAAGUGAAGCUAUCAAGUGCUGGGGGAAGGCUCAUUAUUGCUUCUGAUGGUAUCUGGGAUGCAUUAUCUUCUGACAUGGCUGCAAAGUCUUGUCGCGGUUUACCUGCAGAGCUUGCUGCCAAGUUGGUGGUUAAGGAGGCUUUAAGGUCAAGAGGGCUGAAGGAUGAUACAACAUGCCUUGUUGUUGAUAUUAUCCCAUCUGAUGUCCCCGUCUUACCUUCUAUACCAAGGAAGAAGCAAAACAUGCUUAGUUCACUUCUGUUUGGAAAGAAAUCUCUAAAUUCUGUUAACAAAGCAACAAAUAAGCUUUCUGCUGUUGGAGUGGUAGAGGAGUUGUUUGAAGAGGGUUCUGCUAUGCUUGCUGAAAGGUUGGGUAAAGAUUUUCCUUCAAUCACAAACUCUGGGCUAUACAGAUGUGCCGUAUGCCAAAUUGAUCAAACCCCCACUGACAGUUUAUCAGUAAACUCAGGGUCUUUUUUCUCACCUGGAUCAAAGCCAUGGGAAGGACCCUUCCUCUGCCCUAACUGUCGAAAAAAGAAAGACGCCAUGGAAGGGAAAAUACCGAGCAGACCCACAGUGACUGCAUAGAAAAUCACCUGGUGAGAGUAAAAAUUAUAUUUUUUUGGCUGGAAGUGUGAGCAUGCAUGCGUGGUUUUUUUGCUUUCUGGUACUGAUUGUAAUAGAUGUAUGAGAAAUGAGUUAGAGAUAUAGUGCCUAGGUGUUUCGCUUCACAACUGGUUGUCGACUCUGGUUUUUUCCAGCUUUUAUUAAAACUGACAGGGGACAGAAAUGCCGCCCGAUAGAUAUGUUUGUGAUAGUUUGAUGGCUAACAGCUUGAAGUUGUAAGUAAAAAUGAAGGUUGCAUAGUGAUGUGCUCGUCGCAGCAGCUUCUUUGUUGUGUUUGAAUCCAAGUGGAAAUAUUGCAUCCUUGUGCCUUUUACUUAUUGUACACAUACCUUGUUGGGACAGUAAACAACUUUGGAGGUGGCUUUCCCAACAAGGUAUGUGUACAAUAAGUAA
rnacentral:misc_RNA from 1 species